AUGCUCACUUUGGCAUUACAUAUGCUUUGGUUCGAGCAAUACAGAAAAAAAAAAUAGCAUGGCCCUUGAGCAACCAUGACAUGCAAAUUCAUGAAGCAUUCCAUAUUAAA
rnacentral:snRNA from 1 species